CGGCACCUCAAGUGGUCAGGAUGAUUAUUGGGCCUAAAGCACCCGUAGCCGGCUCUGUAAGUUUUCGGUUAAAUCUGUACGCUCAACGUACAGGCUGCCGGGAAUACUGCAGAGCUAGGGAGUGGGAGAGGUAGACGGUACUCGGUAGGAAGGGGUAAAAUCCUUUGAUCUAUUGAUGACCACCUGUGGCGAAGGCGGUCUACCAGAACACGUCCGACGGUGAGGGAUGAAAGCUGGGGGAGCAAACCGGAUUAGAUACCCGAGUAGUCC
rnacentral:rRNA from 1 species